ensembl:snoRNA
GCAUUCGUCGUGUGUGGAUUUGUUCAGCAAAAACAAAGGCAGGGAAGACAAAUGCAAAACUGUGUCCCCUUUUGCAACUCAUAACUCAUUGUUCAGCACGGGUUUUGAUGUACACAAGAAGAAAUGUG